rnacentral:rRNA from 1 species
UCGGGAAUUUUGGGCAAUGGGCGAAAGCCUGACCCAGCAACGCCGCGUGAGGGAUGAAGGCCUUCGGGUCGUAAACCUCUGUCGGGAGGGACGAAAGGCGCGCGGGUGAACAAUCCGCGUACUUGACGGUACCUCCUAAGGAAGCGCCGGCUAACUCCGUGCCAGCAGCCGCGGUAAUACGGAGGGCGCAAGCGUUGUUCGGAAUUACUGGGCGUAAAGCGCGUGUAGGCGGCCAGGUAAGUCGGAUGUGAAAGCCCGGGGCCAACCCCGGAAUUGCACCCGAUACUGCCUGGCUGGAGUCCCGGAGAGGAUGGCGGAAUUUCCGGUGUAGAGGUGAAAUUCGUAGAUAUCGGAAGGAACACCAGUGGCGAAGGCGGCCAUCUGGACGGUGACUGACGCUGAGACGCGAAAGCGUGGGGAGCAAACAGGAUUAGAUACCCUGGUAGUCCACGCCGUAAACGUUGGGUGCUAGACGUCGGGGGUAUUGACCCCUCCGGUGUCGAAGCUAACGCAUUAAGCACCCGCCUGGGG